CUUUAUUCUCCAUUUGUCUUUCCAAACAGAAAGUUUGCAAUCUGAUGAGGAUGAAGGAAUGCAAUGCAAAGAUGCUGAGACUAUUACUUGCGCAUCAAUGCGAGCAUGUCAGGUUCAUACGAGCGUCAAAAGAAGAAACACCCCCCUCUAUAAAUCUAUUGGUGGUGGACUCCAAUGCUCUGCUCACGAGGCUGCAGUUCUAUUUGGGAAGUUGGCAGCUCGAGGCAGAGGGGCUUUACUCUCGCGACUCUGGAAUUAUGAACAGCGCUGGUCUGACCAGCAUCUUGUUUUGAACAUUAUUCCCACUGAUCUGAGACCAUGGAGUUCGGAACCCGCAUUUUCAUCGCAUUCCUCGUUUCCCAGAUCAUCCCUCCGUCAGGCAGAUAAUUGCAGGAGAGCCUCAAAAGCCUGGAUCUUCUAAUCCACUUCUCAAACACAGCGUGUGGCAUGCCAGGCCUGCGAAAUGUCCCUGGACUGCCUCAUCCCUCUGAGAGAAGUGGAAAUUUUAUAUAAUAUUCCUGUAUUUGCAUAUUGAUUCAUAGUCAAUUAUUGCUGGAAUCUUUUCUUUCAGAAUAUCUAAAACCACCCAGACGGUCUAGCCUGCAUUAGCCAAUCCAAAUAUAAUUGCAGUGACUCAUACUGUAAACAUGGAUGGCUUUAUCUGUGACACUGGAUUACCAACUCACUAGUUGGAAGCAGUAAUUAAUUGAAUGGUAUCUGUGUGGCGUUUGUCUGACUCUGUGGGUUUGCUGUGCACAGUGACCUGUGGAGCCGGAGGCAAUAUGGGGAUUUGUAUCGGAGACAUGCACACGUACACAGAUUUCACAGCGAGAACAGCCGAAUGUCACGGUAAACAUGAUACGUGUUUAUCUGUAGAUGCUUAUGCGGCACCAUUUCUUGUAUAUUAAAGGGGACCCAGAGAAUAGUAAUGGUUGGAAUAAUGGCAGAGUAACAGAAAAGUGUUCUCCAGUGUGUGUGUGUGUGUGUGUGCGUGUUGCUUUUAGAAAGAUGCAUGUUGUUGGGUAUGAUUGAUGACAGGAACAGAGAUAAAUGGAAGGCAGGGAUCUGAUUUGUGAUAAGCAGACAGGAUGUGCCCUGCAGUCCUGACCACCGCUGUUUUGAUCUUUCCGUCUUUCAUAGUUCAAGCUCCAUUUCAUCCCUGUGUUAAGACAAAAUUUUACUUGUGAAUGCUUAAAAAAUAUUCUUAUUUAUGCAGAUAAAUGUGGAUAUCAUGGUCCAAAAUUAAAAAUAUUAGGUGAAAAAUGUUUUUCAGACCAGACAAAUUAAUGACAAUGAUGUCUUUGAUAUUUCCAUAGUAAAUAGAUAGCCUAUGCUCUGCUCUAAAAUAUUUUAUUUAAUAACUUUUUCAUUAAAGUUGCAGUCCGUAACGUUUAGCACUGAUUAUGUCUAUGACGAAUCACGCAGGUACCGGGCUACUCCACAGCGGUACCUACUCGAACCCAUCUGAAAUAGUCAGAAUAUAAACACUUAUUAUAGUUGUACCAUAUAGUGAUUCAGAAAAGCCAAAACACAGUUUGGAAAAUGGAUUCAUGGUGUACUCACUUAUUAGAUAAAUUUUGAACACAAAAAAGUUACGGACUGCAGCUUUAACACAAGAACAAAGUUGUAGUGAUGCCUAAUUUUAGUACCGUUCGAAGGUCUAGGACCAGUAAGGUGUACAUGUAUAAAUUAAUAUUUUUAUUCAGGAAAGAAACACAAAAUUGAUUAAAAAUGACAUUCAUAAUGCUACAGAAGAUUUUAUUUUAUUUUAAUUUUUUUCAAAUAAAUGCUGCUCUUUUGAACUUUCUUCUUCAAAGAACCCCCCCCCAAAACUGUAUCAUGGUUUCCACUAAAAUAUUAAGCAGCACAACUGUUUUCAGCAUUGCUAAUAAUAAGAAAUGAUGCUUUAGCAUGUUAGAAUGAUUUCUGAAGGAUCAUGUGACACUGAAGACUGGAGUAAUGAUGCUGAAUAUGUAGCGCUAAAUCUUACCUGCCACAAAUUUUGAACGUUAUUGUAUACUUUAUAUUGGUUGACCCAGUUCACAAAUUGAUUAGAAAGACUGAUUUAUGAUUUAAAAUUAUUCUUAAUUUUAUCAAGUAGUUUUUUUCUUUGUGGAGACACCUAACAUUGAAAUUAGUGAUGUCAAUUAAUUUGGAUUUAGCUUUCAU
rnacentral:lncRNA from 12 species